UAAGGAAUAUUGCUCAAUGGGAGAAAUCCUGAAGCAGCAACGCCGCGUGGAGGAUGAAGGGUCUAUGACUUGUAAACUCCUGUAAAGAAGGAAAAAAUUCCCAUUAGAUGGGAGAUGAUGGUACUUCUGGAGUAAGCCCCGGCUAACUACGUGCCAGCAGCCGCGGUAAUACGUAGGGGGCAAGCGUUGUCCGGAUUUACUGGGUGUAAAGGGUGCUCAGGCGGAUUUGUAAGUCAGAGGGGAAAUCUUACAGCUUAACUGUGAAACUGCCGUUGAUACUGCAAGCCGAGAGUAUGGAAGAGAGUGAUGGAAUAUCUGGUGUAGCAGUGAAAUGCGUAGAUAUCAGAUAGAACACCAAUGGCGAAGGCAGUCACUUGGUCCAUUACUGACGCUAAAGCACGAAAGCGUGGGUAGCAAACA
rnacentral:rRNA from 1 species